GGGAUAUUGUUGUAAUUUCAUCUCUGCCCUCCGGUCAUGUGCGAGUAUAACUCCACUUGCCGCCUGCUGGCCUGCUUCGGGCAGCUAAAAUACGCAGUCCAUUCUGCCCGUCGGUCAGGCUAGGCCCAAAUGUGUAUAAUGUAUAUAUGUAGAGAGAAAGAGUGUGUAAGUGCGUGUGUCUCGCAAACUGCAGACGCAGGUCGCUGUUAUUGUAGUCAGAGUUAUCUCGUGGCAUUCUUCCUUGAUUACUCCGGUGCAUCGUGUGGAGGUGAUUUCUCUGUUUCGCUAGGGCCUUUGAGACGUUUCAAGUGGAUUUGAUUUCGGUGAUCCAUUGUGAAUGGAGGUGCUGAGAUCCAACGGCCGAAAACCAAAGGUGAUUCUCGUAGGUGGACUAUCGAACCAAAUAAGAUCUCAGAUUGAGAUCUUCAACAAAUUUAGGUGCCUAUAGUUUCCAGAAUGUCUGAGAUAGCUCUCAGAGAUGUUCAUAAUAUUCCUGGCCUUGUUAAAAGUGGAAACUAUAUCAAACCCCUUGUUGAAAGCACUUACGAAAACACAAAAGAAAAGAGUAAGGAAAAGAUUGGAUGUUUGGUUGACCUUUCCAUUGAGAGAGAUACAAUAGAGAACUCUCAAGUUGAAAUCAUAAAUUUAGAAACAGAGUACAUAGAAUCAGAUAAAUUGGCAGAUGUGGAAGACGUGGAGGAAUGUAUAAAGACACUUGUGGAGGCUUGGCGCCAAAGAUUGGCUUUCAGUGUGUGAUGCUCUGAAUGAUGUUCGCAGAUUGUCUGUAUAUCACAAGGAUGCCAUUGUUGGCAUGUUGAGUGAUUUGAUAUCCCUAGUAGUAAAAUCCAUGAAGAACCCUAGAAGGGCCCUUUGUAAGAUUGCAAUUAUGGCUUCUGCAGACAUCUCCAAAGUUUUCAAUGACAGCAUCAUUGAUUUAUUGGAUAAAAUUCACAAUGCUGCAGACCCAAAGCCUUCUUCUGAAGAACUCAUUGUAGCUUCUUGGGAGCAUUUGUGCCAAUCAAUGCUCUCACCUUUGAGCAAGCAAGCCGUCCUUCGUGUCACCACUAUUCCUCGGGAGGGAUCUAUCUUGUGUACAUAGAAUACGGCUGGUCAGAUACCGAUAAUCUAUGUGUGGUGCAGGACAACACAUUCAAGUCAAAAAGUUGGGCAUCUCUAUCUAUACACAAUUGUGUGUAUAUUGGACCACCAUCAUUUGAACCUUUUUGAUGGAUUAUUUUUGGAUUGUUCCCAAUUCUACCAAUCUCCACUUGGUAUGUUAUUCCCUUUAUUUAUUUAUUUUUAAUGCAUAAAAGAACAUUUAUAUGAA